GGAAGGCGUCCGGUCAGGUCGAGGAGCACCGUUGGAAGCGGUGUACGCGGCGGUGACGUCGCGGCCGGGUUCGAAUCCCGGGCCUUCCGC
rnacentral:tRNA from 1 species